ensembl:lncRNA
GUUAAUUUAAAAGCCAGAAUUUUAAACCUACCUCUUGUUUUACCUCGUCAGGCCUCAAGAUGGCGCUGGAGAGUUGUAGACUUAUCUUGGGUUUGUUUUUGCUUCCCUUGGGGCGACCCCACCACUUAGGGGCCGAUGAUACCUGGCUACAAACACUUUCACUGUCAGCAGAGUUGUUUCCUUUUCCUGUGGAUUGGUUCCUUCCUCUGGUGGUGGAGUUUUUCUUCUUCGUUGGUUUUCUGCCUGGUUUGUUAUUGUUCUUCUGAGCAGCAAGAGACAGUUGAUCCUUCGUUAGUCUGUGGAGUCUCACGAUAGCAGCCAUUUUGAGAUGAUUCAGGUUAACGCUAUGCAGAGAAUCUCCUCCCUCUAUUUUGAGUUGAUGUAAGGCGCGUUCCUCUGCUCAGAAGUUGCUGACGCCUGACCUCACAACGCCUGGAUAUGUAUUUUAAGUUUCGACUAACCACAUCAUGUUAUAGCAAUGGUUGAUGAAUGUAACAUCUGAGUAGGGGAACAUUACCCCUAGUCUCAAUCUGGGCAGAGAAACGUGUUCUGUUAAACUAAUGUCUCAGGAUCUUGUAGCUCUAGGAUGGAACCCUGUGGGGGAUGUCUUGUCCUCUCCUUUAAAGACAGAGCUGGUCAUCAUUCUAGGGACCUGUAGCUCUAGGAUGGAACCAUGUGGGGGAUAUCUUGUCCUCUCCUUUAAAGACAGAGCUGGUCAUCAUUCUAGGGUCUUGUAGCUCUAGGAUGGAACCCUGUGGGGGAUGUCUUGUCCUCUCCUUUAAAGACAGAGCUGGUCAUCAUUCUAGGGUCUUGUAGCUCUAGGAUGGAACCCUGUGGGGGAUGUCUUGUCCUCUCCUUUAAAGACAGAGUUGGUCAUCAU